GUUGUUUUAUAGGCUUGCACAAGGAUUGAGAUUACGUCAGAUUGACAUGAUGGAAGAUGGAGUGGCAUCCAGUUCAACAACACUCUCAAAAAUGACCAAAAAGCUCAGAAAGGUGUGCACAACUGCAUUUAGAAGAAUGAAAAGAAAGCAUCAAUUCAAAAUUGGAGGGCACUUAAGACUUCGUUUUGUUGUAAUUGAUGAGUCCAAAUUCAGUCAUAAAAGAAAGGUACUC